CCCGUCUUGAAACACGGACCAAGGAGUCUAACAUGUGCGCGAGUCAUUCGGUCUUGUUUAGGCCAGAAAGGCGCAAUGAAAGUAAAAUUAUUUAAAAUUGUUACGAUCCUCAACAAUAGUUGUUCCCAUUGGGUAUAACUAUUUUGAGGCGCAGUAACGGCCUGCCAAAUUCGCUUAUUGACGAUGUGGCAGAGUUGUAGCGUACACGUUGGUACCCGAAAGAUGGUGAACUAUGCCUGGGCAAGACGAAGCCAGAGGAAACUCUGGUGGAGGUCUGUAGCGAUUCUGACGUGCAAAUCGAUCGUCUGACCUGGGUAUAGGGGCGAAAGACUAAUCGAACCAUCUAGUAGCUGGUUCCUUCC
rnacentral:rRNA from 1 species